rnacentral:rRNA from 1 species
GAAUUUGAUAUAAGUAUUUAUAAUAAGUUUAAUUUUUUGUAUAAAUAAUUAUAAUUUAAUUGGGAGGAUUAGUAAAUUUAUUUAACUUUAAUUAAAAAUUAAAAUAUAAAUUAAUAUAUAAAAUUUUUUAGAGUGAUUAUUAAAUUAAAUAAUAAUUAAUUACCUUAGGGAUAACAGCAUAAUAUUUUUAAAGAGAUCUUAUUAAUAAAAAUGAUUGU